CCCUUAGAUGUUCUGGGCCGCACGCGCGCUACACUGACGGAGGCAGCGAGCAUGUCCUUCGCCGAGAGGUGUGGGGAAUCUUGUGAGUCUCCGUCGUGCUGGGGAUAGAUGGUUGCAAUUGUCGAUCUUGAACGAGGAAUUCCUAGUAAGCGCGAGUCAUCAGCUCGCGCUGAUUACGUCCCUGCCCUUUGUACACACCGCCCGUCGCUCCUACCGAUUGAAUGUUCCGAUGAAUACCAUGGACUGAGAGUAUGAAUGGGUUCGCCUAUUUCUGCUUCUCGGGAAGUGGAGUAAAUCUUAACAUUUAGAGGAAGGAGAAGUCGUAACA
rnacentral:rRNA from 1 species